AUUCUAGUUAUUUUAUUAUCAUUAUAUUUCCCCAUGUAAUAUAUAAAUUGCACCCUGGGUAGAAAUUCCUCCCCUCCCAAAUUACUGAAGGUAGUGCCUACUUUUUUUGUGCAGUGUUCUCCACAGAGUGAUUGUCUUGGGAUUUUUCAAGCUAUCCUGACACAAUAUUCUAUGAAAAACCAUUAUAUUUUAUUCGCUUUGAGAUACUAAAGGUCAUCCAUAAAAUAUUAUAGUGUUAUACUGAUUUUAAUUUUAUAUAGAAAUAAUUUUGAGGGUAUUUAGUGUUUGAGUGUGAUGAUAGCAAUGUGAUCAAUGAAAUAACUAUAUAUCUCUUUUAGAUUAUGAAUGUAACCAAGAAUGUACCUAUUGGUUUUACUAUGAUGUUUAUUAUUAUUUGUUUUUUUUUUUUAUACUGUGGCAAAAAUGUUUACC